CCUACGUGGGGCAGCAGUGAGGAAUAUUGGUCAAUGGGCGCGAGCCUGAACCAGCCAAGUAGCGUGAAGGAUGACUGCCCUACGGGUUGUAGACUUCUUUUAUGAAGGAAUAAAGUGAGGCACGUGUGCAUUUUUGCAUGUACUUUAUGAAUAAGGAUCGGCUAACUCCGUGCCAGCAGCCGCGGUAAUACGGAGGAUCCGAGCGUUAUCCGGAUUUAUUGGGUUUAAAGGGAGCGUAGAUGGGUCGUUAAGUCAGUUGUGAAAGUUUGCGGCUCAACUGUAAAAUUGCAAUUGAUACUGGCAGUCUUGAGUACAGUUGAGGUAGGGGGAAUUCGUGGUGGAGCGGUGAAAUGCUUAGAUAUCACGAAGAACCCCGAUUGCGAAGGCAGCUUACUAAGCUGUGACUGACAUUGAUGCUCGAAAGUGUGGGUAUCAAACAGGAUUAGAUACCCCUGUAGUC
rnacentral:rRNA from 1 species